AUGUUUAAUCACAGUCAGAGAGCCGCUCAUAAACACCUACCAUGGCGGCAGAGGAACCCAAAGAGGACGAGAAGGGUCUGGCUGCAGACCAUGGGCGAGUGGAGCUCCACUCUCAAACCGGAAAUACGUCACCUCCACUUGAAAACAUCAAGAUGGCGUCGCCGGGAGUACUUCAAACUUAAACUCAGAUCAAAUGUAUAUCAAGUGUUAUCCAUCCUCAUAACACCUCCACAAAUAGAGACUGAAACUUCUGAGCACCAUCACCUUGUCUGCUAUGGGACUGUCAUAGCCCAGCAAUCAGAUGCAUCAGAACAACAAAGCACAACUGUGGUGCCCCAGGCACCUUCAGCAACAACGGCGCUUCUCCAGAGAACAUCAACCUAG
rnacentral:lncRNA from 1 species